GACGAACGCUGGCGGCGUGCCUAACACAUGCAAGUCGAGCGAUGAAAUUAGAAACGGAGUCUUCGGACGAAGUGGAAAAUGGAUUAGCGGCGGACGGGUGAGUAACACGUGAGCAACCUGCCUAUCACAUCGGGAUAGCCUCGGGAAACUGGGAUUAAUACCGAAUGAAACAUAAUCACCGCCUAGUGGAAAUGUCAAAGAUUUAUCGGUGAUAGAUGGGCUCGCGUCUGAUUAGCCAGUUGGUGAGGUAAUGGCUCACCAAGGCGACGAUCAGUAGCCGGCCUGAGAGGGUGAACGGCCACAUCGGGACUGAGACACGGCCCAAACUCCUACGGGAGGCAGCAGUGGGGAAUAUUGCACAAUGGAGGGAACUCUGAUGCAGCGACGCCGCGUGAGCGAUGAGGGCUUUCGAGUCGUAAAGCUCUGUCGAAUGGGAAGAUAAUGACGGUACCAUUUGAGAAAGCCCCGGCUAACUACGUGCCAGCCGCCGCUGUAAAAC
rnacentral:rRNA from 1 species